GGGGAUGUGACUCAGUGGUAGAGCAUCUGCCUGGCAAGCAGGAAGCUCUUAGUUCCAUUCCUA
rnacentral:tRNA from 1 species